AUACAUCCUUUCUAUUAACCACAAUCUGAGCCGCGCGUUCCUAAUAUCUUACAUUUAUUUUUCUUUUGUCAAUAAACAAUAUAAAUGAAGGAAUUAGCUAGAAAAGAACUAUGACGUGGAAAGGUCAAGAGCAAUGUGUGUCAGAAGCGUCACAAUCCUGCACAAGGAUUUGCAGAGAAAGGCUGUUUUUGGGAAAAGCUUCACGACGCACAUCACGAGCAGUCGCAGCAUUCACACUGAGGUCAAAUGGGUGGGACUUCCAACGUGCAACAAUAAAAUGUGCAACGCAACUUCUUUAACCCCUCCCCAAAGUGUGACUGUUUUCCCCUCCCCACCCCUACUCCCCAAAACACCCCCCCUCUUCCCUGCUCUUCCCUGGGAUACCGGAACCAGCCCGCCCCUUCUGCAGGUAGGACAUCCACACGCUCAUGGAAAAAAAAAAUAUAUUGUUUGAGUUGGCAAUUUAAUAGUUUCUGGGAUCCGCGUUUGCGAUUCAUUUGCACAUUUAUUCCUUCAUCGCAACUUGAAUCCUCCCGCGGGGAAUAACAACAUCACUGACCACAGGUUUGCUUUGGAUGAUUCCAGCGGCAUCUAUGGUUAGACUUGGAAACACAUACCAGUGAGGGGGAAACCAUCUGUACCUGUGGCUUUGUGUGCAUGACUGUGUGUGUGUGUGUGUGUGUGUGUGUGUGUGUGUGUGUGUGUUGGCAGGGCCUCCGGGUGGUGAGGGGGAAUUUCUCCAGGACUUUCCUGCGAUUUGGUUACCAUGAGAUCACAGAGAUUCCCGCAGGAGCAAGCGACGUCCGCAUAAGGGAGACAGUGAAGAGCCGAAACUAUCUGGCUCUGCGGACCCAAAGCGGCCUCUCUGUCGUCAACGGCAACUGGGUGGUUGACAGACAGGGGAGCUUCACUGCGGCGGGGACACGGCUGACGUACCAACGACCCAACGAAAUCCGAUCUCGCAAAGGAGAGUCCAUCACGGCAGCGGGGGCCGCUGACCGAGGACCUGCAUGUUUACCUGAUCUACCAGCAACCAGGUCCCAGUGUGUACUAUGAGUACAUUGUGCCUUUGGAGGACUCACGUCUUCGUGUAGCUGCAGCAGUGGGCCCGUCCCACUCAGGUGGGAUGAACCACCAAGAUGAGCAGGACCAUCCGAGGGAGAAGAACUACCAAGGUGAAGUCCCCAACAAUGACGUCAGAGAAAGCGCAUUAAAAGCAACAUGGGACGACUGCACAGUGAACCAACGAACCAGGAAGAGGUUUGCAG